UGGGGGUGUAGCCAAGCGGUCCAAGGCACCGGAUUUUGAUUCCGGCAUUCCCAGGUUCGAAUCCUGGCACCCCAGCCA
rnacentral:tRNA from 1 species